UACAGAGGUCUCAAGCGUUGUUCGGAUUCAUUGGGCGUAAAGGGUGCGUAGGCGGUCUGUUAAGUGUAGAGUGAAAUCUCCAGGGCUCAACCCGGAAACUGCUCUGCAUACUGGCAGACUGGAGGGAUGCAGAGGUUUGUGGAAUUCCUGGUGUAGCGGUGAAAUGCGUUGAUAUCAGGAGGAACACCCAUGGCGAAGGCAGCAAACUGGGCAUCAUCUGACGCUGAGGCGCGAAGGCUAGGGGAGCAAACGGG
rnacentral:rRNA from 1 species